CCUACGGGAGGCAGCAGUGGGGGAUAUUGCACAAUGGGGGGAACCCUGAUGCAGCGACGCCGCGUGGGUGAAGAAGCGCCUCGGCGCGUAAAGCCCUAUCAGCAGGGAAGAAAAUGACGGUACCUUAAGAAGAAGCCCCGGCUAACUACGUUCCAGCAGCCGCGGUAAUACGUAGGGGGCAAGCCUUAUCCGGAUUUACUGGGUGUAAAGGGGGCGCGGACGGACAUGCAACCCAGGAGUGAAAGCCCGGGGCUCAACCCCGGGACUGAGCUGGGAACUGCGUGGCUGGAGUGCAGGAGGGGCAGGUGGAAUUCCUGGUGUAGCGGUGAAAUGCGUAGAUAUCAGGAGGAACACCGGUGGCGAAGGCGGCCUGCUGGACUGCAACUGACGUUGAGGCGCGAAAGCGUGGGGAGCAAACAGGAUUAGAUACCCCUGUAGUC
rnacentral:rRNA from 1 species